rnacentral:rRNA from 1 species
GAUGAACGCUGGCGGCGUGCUUAACACAUACAAGUCGAACGGAAAGGCCCAAGCUUGCUUGGGUACUCGAGUGGCGAACGGGUGAGUAACACGUGUGUGUUCUGCCCUGCACUUCGGGAUAAGCCUGGGAAACUGGGUCUAAUAUUGGAUAGGACCACUUCUUGGAUGUUGUGGUGGAAAGUUUUUUCGGUGUGGGGUGAGCUCGCGGCGUAUCGGCUUGUUAUUGGGGUAAUGGUCUACCAACGCGUCGACGGGUAGCCGGCCCGUGGGGGUGUACAGCCGCAUUGGGACCGAGAGACGGCCCAGACGGCUAAGGUAGGCAGAAGGGGGGAAUAUUGCACAAGGGACACAAGCCUGAUGCAGCGAGGCCGCGGGGUGGAUGACCGCCUUCGUGUUGUAAAAACCUAUCGGUAGGGACGAAGGGUUUUGUGACGGUACCUGAAGAAGAAGCACCGGCUAACUACGUG